rnacentral:tRNA from 1 species
GAGGAAGUAGCUUAAAUGGUAAAGUGCCCGCUUUGUGUGUGAGAGACAUGGGGUUCAAUCCCCCGCAUCUUCU